rnacentral:ribozyme from 1 species
CUUCCUCAGUGGGUUGACACCUUGUCGUGGUGAGGGAGCUCAGUAGUUCUAUCACAAAACCUGUGCAGAACGAAGCUAAGUACAACC